AAAGCACGACAUUGCUCACAUUGCUUCCAGUAUUAUUUUAGCCAGCUUCCAGCUGGCUUUUUUUU
rnacentral:antisense_RNA from 1 species